AAUCAAAAUAAAAUAAAACACUGUCAAUUGGAGGUAUUUUCUACUUUGUCAGCUCCAAUAUCUAGCGUUGCUUCUUGUGUUCCGUCUUCCUCUCUUUGUGUAAUCUCUGAUUUGCUACAACUGCAAAUAGUACGCAUGUGCAAAAUCGUUACUGCCAAUAUUGUCUGAGCAAGUAUUUUUAUUUUACAUAUUUCAUAUUAUUAUUUAUUGCAGUAGUGUGGGUGUGGCAUAGCGAUUAGAGGUUCCGCUUCCUGCAACGAAAGUCAGAGGUUCGAAGGCGAUUAGAUACCGCCCUAGUUCUGACCGCAAACCAUCCCAUCUAGCGAUCCAAUGGGGUAUUGUUGCCUUGUCGAAGAGUUUCCCGGAAAGUCUUUCAGUUUCUGGGGUAGUAUGGUUGCAAAGCUGAAACUUAAAGAAAUUGACGGAAUGACAUUCGGUAACUGAUUCUGUUGUGUCUGCAUAAUUGAUCAAAG
rnacentral:ncRNA from 1 species